rnacentral:snoRNA from 1 species
CGGAGGACUGAGAAGGUUAAGCAGCUUGUGUUGUGCUGUUAUAACUGGUUAUAACCUCCAACAGUAACAAACAAACCACACAAUUACAGAGCUGUGUCUUCGGCAGAGCUCAUAAGAGUGUGGUGAACAAAAU